GCUUAACUACGAGCGGUCAUUGGAAACUGGAAGACUUGAGGACAGAAGAGGAGAGUGGAAUUCCACGUGUAGCGGUGAAAUGCGUAGAGAUGUGGAGGAACACCAGUGGCGAAGGCGACUCUCUGGUCUGUAACUGACGCUGAGGCGCGAAAGCGUGGGGAGCGAACAGGAUUAGAUACCCUGGUAGUCCACGCCGUAAACGAUGAGUGCUAGGUGUUAGGGGGUUUCCGCCCCUUAGUGCUGCAGUUAACGCAUUAAGCACUCCGCCUGGGGAGUACGGCCGCAAGGCUGAAACUCAAAAGAAUUGACGGGGGCCCGCACAAGCGGUGGAGCAUGUGGUUUGAUUCGAAGCAACGCGAAGAACCUUACCAGGUCUUGACAUCCCUUUGACCGUCCUAGAGAUAGGGCUUUCCCUUCGGGGACAAAGGUGACAGGUGGUGCAUGGUUGUCGUCAGCUCGUGUCGUGAGAUGUUGGGUUAAGUCCCGUAACGAGCGCAACCCUUAAUAUUAGUUGCCAGCAUUAAGUUGGGCACUCUAAUGUGACUGCCGGUGACAAACCGGAGGAAGGUGGGGAUGACGUCAAAUCAUCAUGCCCCUUAUGACCUGCGCUACACACGUGCUACAAUGGAUGGUACAACG
rnacentral:rRNA from 1 species